rnacentral:ncRNA from 1 species
CACCAGGCCUCCAGCAAAACACCACAAGCUGCUUUCAUUAGCCACUGUGAAGAGAGCCUGAAUGUUUGGCCUGGCCCCUUCAAGACAAGGGCAUUCCUAUGUUCUAAAUCUCCCAGGCAACAAGGGCAAGUCUAGUGCCAACAACCACGGUAAUUCCAGCUCCAAUAGUGUAUAUUUAAGUUGUUGUGGUUACCUGGGGUCAGGUUGGCUGGUCCAAAUUAUGGCGAGAACCAACCUACUCGGCCCUUCUGCCCGUGAUGUGCUUCUGUCCUUAAUUGGCUGGGUAAUGCCUCCAGCGCCGUUACUUUGAAGAAAUUAAAGUUCUCAAAGCAAACCAUCACUUUAGAUACAUUAGCAUGGGAUAACAUCAUAGGAUUCUUGUCCUAUUGUGUUGAACUUCGGGAUCGGAAAUGAUUAAUAGGGACACGAUUAGAGAGUUAAGGCCUUUGUGCAUCUCCUUAGAGCCAGCAUUAAAAAAAUCAAUC